AAGCCGGGUGCCCUCAACAAACAUGGCGGCCGCGUUAGCGUCAUUCUCGCUCGGGAGGCCACGCUCCCGCCUGGGACUCGCGGACUCGGCGUCACCCCGCGCGGGACCACGUGACUCAGGAGGCUCCCGAGGCGGCGGCGCUCGCGCGGCCUCAGCAGCCGCAGCUGCUAGGAGUGGGGUGGGGUCUGCCGGGCGAGCAUUCCCGGCGGGUCCCGGCCUCGCGCGCGCACGUGUCUGCCUACUCGCGCACGCGGUCCUGGCGCAGCCGGAAAGGAAUAAUGCUGUCAGCAUGUCUGCACACUCCAUGCUCUGUGAACGAAUCGCCAUCGCCAAGGAACUGAUCAAGAGAGCAGAAUCACUGUCUAGAUCAAGAAAAGGUGGCAUAGAAGGUGGCGCAAAGCUGUGCAGCAAAUUGAAGGCAGAGUUAAAAUUCUUACAGAAAGUAGAAGCCGGGAAAGUAGCGAUUAAGGAGUCCCAUCUGCAGAGCACUAACCUAACACACCUAAGAGCCAUCGUGGAAUCAGCAGAAAACUUGGAAGAAGUUGUUAGUGUUCUUCAUGUCUUUGGUUACACAGAUACCAUGGGAGAAAAGCAGACCCUAGUGGUGGAUGUGGUUGCCAAUGGUGGUCAUACGUGGGUGAAAGCCAUUGGCCGAAAGGCUGAAGCUCUUCAUAACAUCUGGCUGGGUAGGGGCCAGUAUGGUGACAAAAGUAUCAUUGAGCAGGCUGAAGACUUCCUCCAGGCCAGUCACCAGCAGCCAGUGCAGUACAGCAACCCUCACAUCAUCUUUGCAUUUUACAACAGUGUCUCCAGCCCCAUGGCAGAGAAGCUCAAAGAAAUGGGCAUUUCUGUGAGAGGAGACAUAGUAGCCGUUAACUCUCUGUUAGAUCACCCAGAAGAGCUCCAGCCCAGUGAGAGUGAGUCAGAUGAUGAGGGCCCUGAAUUUUUGCAGGUGACCCAAGUGGACCGAGAAAAUAUUCUAGCAAGUGUUGCCUUUCCAACAGAAAUUAAGGUCGAUGUGUGCAAAAGAGUGAAUCUGGACAUUACGACUUUAAUUACAUACGUAUCUGCCCUCAGCUAUGGAGGCUGCCACUUUGUCUUCAAAGAGAAAGUGCUUACGGAACAAGCAGAGCAAGAGAGGAAGGAGCAGGUUUUGCCACAGCUGGAGGCGUUUAUGAAGGACAAGGAGUUGUUUGCCUGUCAUUCUGCUGUCAAAGACUUUCAGUCUAUUCUAGAUACCUUAGGAGGACCUGGGGAGAGAGAGAGGGCCACUAUGCUGAUUAAGCAAAUUAAUGUGGUACCUGACCAGCCUUCUGAGCGUGCCUUGAGACUAGUGGCCAGUUCAAAAAUCAAUAGCCGCUCGCUAACAAUUUUUGGGACAGGAGACACUCUAAAAGCCAUCACGAUGACUGCCAAUAGUGGUUUUGUCAGAGCUGCCAACAACCAGGGUGUUAAAUUUAGUGUGUUUAUCCAUCAGCCUAGAGCACUUACUGAGAGCAAAGAGGCUCUCGCCACCCCUUUACCAAAAGACCACACAACCGCAAUGAACACUGAUGAUACCCUUUAAAUAUUUUCAUGGAAAUAAGUUAUUGAUACCAAAGGCUGGGUCUUCCCAUCUUAAAUGGGAAGGAAGAAAAGGUCUAUAGUAAAAAUAAUACUUAGCACUCUUAACCUGUAGAGUUGAUUGUGUGUGUCAUCUAUAAAAUACAUAACCCAAAGUAGAAAAAGUACAAGAGACAAACAAUUUACCAAACUGCCUACGUUUUAGCAACCAAGAAAAUACAUCUAUAUAAAGCUUUUAGCUGUGUGACAGUACUUUUAUUUGAUCGAGUAGGGCAACAUCCCCCUAGUGGCAAUUGGCAUUUCAUGGGAUGUGGCUACCCUGCGUCUCGCAUAAAAUACCUGGAGAAAACUGAAGCUUGUUUUUUGUUAUGUUGGUUCAUCAUUCAUGUGGGUUGAGGCUGGGAAGUUUAUAAUUAGUUUUUGAUUAUGAAGUUAUGGCCAUUAUGAAUGAAAAGAAACUUCUUGACUGCGCAUGUCAGGCAUACUCUGGUGCGUGCAUUUACAAAGAGUACAUUAAUACAGAAGAAAAUAAAGUGAAUACUGGGCAUGUGAAACCCAUGAACCGAUGUAUACACCUUUGUGAAAAGAAAGAGUUUUGGCUGAUUGUUUGGGUCAUCCUAAGAAGAAAGCAAUUGCAGAUAUCACUCUGAGAGAUUUCCCAGCUUGGAUGUUAGGAUUAGCCCAGGAGAUGAACCCUUUUACCACAAACCAUUUCAUUUUAGGAAAGAAAUUUUUUUGCACCUCCAACUAUAAAGGUAUAGAAACAGAAGAGCCAUACAAAAUGAUAGAUCUAAAUUAAAUAUAGAUCCAAACUAAAAUUAAUUUCAAAUUGAACAUUUCUGUCCUUUUUUUUUUUUUUCCUUUGGUGGACAACUACAUAGACUAGUGAACUAUAGAGCAAACACCCACAAUACAGACACAGGCAGUUAUGUCCGUACACACACGUGUGUGUAUCUAUUUUGCAUAGUUUUCUCCCUUUACAUUAAAAAAAUGAAAAUUUUUUUCCUACGAAAGUUUCUUCAAAAAAUCUCUGCUAAAGAAAAUAGUUGUCCAUAAUUUAUGAAUUAAGGGUGGAAUUGUUUUGGAGUGGGGUGUGUGUGUGUGUGUGUGCGCGCGUGCACACACCGGGAGCGGUCAAGGGGGGCGGAGGGUCGUGGUUCCUAAAUCUUUGGCUUAGAAGACAAAGCACAGAGCUUUUGAGGCCUUAUCCUGGGAUAUUUUGCAGUGGAUGAAGAAAGAAUUCUCAGCCAGCAGGACUCCCUUAGAAGAUGAAGAUAGGGCUAAUAGCUACAAUUUUACUAACAACAGCAAUAUCAGUGACAACAAAAAUGUCCUCUCUGGGCCUAACCCAGUCACAGAGUGAACUAAAUAAAUUA